rnacentral:rRNA from 1 species
UCUUGACGGUACCUAAUCAGAAAGCCACGGCUAACUACGUGCCAGCAGCCGCGGUAAUACGUAGGUGGCAAGCGUUAUCCGGAAUUAUUGGGCGUAAAGCGCGCGUAGGCGGUUUUUUAAGUCUGAUGUGAAAGCCCACGGCUCAACCGUGGAGGGUCAUUGGAAACUGGAAAACUUGAGUGCAGAAGAGGAAAGUGGAAUUCCAUGUGUAGCGGUGAAAUGCGCAGAGAUAUGGAGGAACACCAGUGGC